AUACGGAGGGUGCGAGCGUUAAUCGGAAUUACUGGGCGUAAAGCGUGCGUAGGCGGUUUGCUAAGUCAGAUGUGAAAGCCCCGGGCUUAACCUGGGAACUGCAUUUGAUACUGGCAGACUAGAGUAUGAUAGAGGGGGGUAGAAUUCCUGGUGUAGCGGUGAAAUGCGUAGAUAUCAGGAGGAAUACCAGUGGCGAAGGCGGCCCCCUGGAUCAAUACUGACGCUGAGGUACGAAAGCGUGGGGAGCGAACAGGAUUAGAAACCCUAGUAGUCC
rnacentral:rRNA from 1 species